UAUCUGAUCAAUCGACGUACUGCCCGUGC
rnacentral:sRNA from 1 species